rnacentral:rRNA from 1 species
AUUGAACGCUGGCGGCAGGCCUAACACAUGCAAGUCGAACGGAGUGGCGGACGGGUGAGUAAUGUAUGGGAAACUGCCCGAUGGAGGGGGAUAACUACUGGAACCGUUAGCUAAUACCGCAUACUAUCAGAUGAGCCUAGGUCGGAUUAGCUAGUUGGUGGGGUAAAGGCCUACCAAGGCGACGAUCCGUAACUGGUCUGAGAGGAUGAUCAGCCACACUGGAACUGAGACACGGUCCAGACUCCUACGGGAGGCAGCAGUGGGGAAUAUUGGACAAUGGGCGAAAGCCUGAUGCAGCCAUGCCGCGUGUGUGAAGAAGGUCUUCGGAUUGUAAAGCACUUUAAGUGGGGAGGCGUUACCAAAAGAAUAAGCACCGGCUAACUUCGUGCCAGCAGCCGCGGUAAUUC